CAACUCUUCUGCUCCUGUGACUAUAAAAGGCAUUGUGCUGUCAGACAAGAACUCGACAGCUUCUCUGCUCGUCUCUGAGAAAAACCUUCUGAGGGUGUAAGAUCACUGUAAUCAUGCUGAAGGUUGCACUUAUUCUUGGAUGCCUCCUGAGCCUCAUUGUGGCUAAACCUGUAACAAAUGAGCGAAUCGCACGCUCCAGUUCCCAUGAGGGAUAUGGAUAUGGAAAUAUGUAUGGAUAUGGAUAUGGCAACUCUGUUAUGAGUUUGGACGCAAUGCUUCAGAACCAGCUUUUUUACAAUCUACUCCAAAAUCUCAUAACGGGUUAACAAUUAUGGCUGAAACGUGACAAAAGAAUCCUGUCACUGUUGUAACGGGACAUCUUUCUCUACGGAUCAUGGAUCAAAAUGUAUUUCUAAAAUCAAAUAAAGUUUACCA